rnacentral:rRNA from 1 species
GAUGAACGCUGGCGGCGUGCCUAAUACAUGCAAGUCGAGCGAACGGACGAGAAGCUUGCUUCUCUGAUGUUAGCGGCGGACGGGUGAGUAACACGUGGAUAACCUACCUAUAAGACUGGGAUAACUUCGGGAAACCGGAGCUAAUACCGGAUAAUAUUUUGAACCGCAUGGUUCAAAAGUGAAAGACGGUCUUGCUGUCACUUAUAGAUGGAUCCGCGCUGCAUUAGCUAGUUGGUAAGGUAACGGCCUACCAAGGCAACGAUGCAUAGCCGACCUGAGAGGGUGAUCGGCCACACUGGAACUGAGACACGGUCCAGACUCCUACGGGAGGCAGCAGUAGGGAAUAUUCCGCAAUGGGCGAAAGCCUGACGGAGCAACGCCGCGUGAGUGAUGAAGGUCUUCGGAUCGUAAAACUCUGUUAUUAGGGAAGAACAUAUGUGUAAGUAACUGUGCACAUCUUGACGGUACCUAAUCAGAAAGCCACGGCUAACUACGUG